UAUCAUUCAAUCUUUGGCAGCAACACUUAUUAUUCAAAGGGGUGUUUACUGAAAAAUUUCUGACUGAAUAGCGAACAGCGCAGAUCAGCCUGCACGGAACUACAUGUUGAUCUUGGAUUUAUAUUGUUAGCGCGGUGAAAUCACUUGCCGUCAGCAGGCUAAAGUCCAAUGGAUUGUUCGCUUCCAACUAGGCAUUAUAAACAUGAGGAAAUACGUAUCUUAUGGCCAUGUGGUAUUUGAGGUAGUCGGCUGUCACUGCAGGGCAUUUCUAAGAAGACUUAACCGGUAUUUCUGAUGAGAUCCAUACCACUUAUUGUUCUAUACUACUUGACAAGACAUUGCUGAGUUGUCGUAUAUCUUUCACAUGACAGUACUACGUCAUACUAUUUGUUGUAGAACUGAAAUAGGUUACCGAAAUAUAUUUGGUUUAUACUGUAAAAUAUUAAAUUACUUGUUAUAAAGCCAAGAAAAAUAUA